UAGGGAAUCUUCCGCAAUGGACGCAAGUCUGACGGAGCAACGCCGCGUGAGUGAAGAAGGAUUUCGGUUCGUAAAACUCUGUUGUUAGAGAAGAACAGCGCAUAGAGUAACUGUUAUGCGUGUGACGGUAUCUAACCAGAAAGCCACGGCUAACUACGUGCCAGCAGCCGCGGUAAUACGUAGGUGGCAAGCGUUGUCCGGAUUUAUUGGGCGUAAAGCGAGCGCAGGCGGUCAAUUAAGUCUGAUGUAAAAGGCGAAAGCUCAACUUUCGUAAGCAUCGGAAACUGUCAAGCUUGAGUGAAGGAGAGGCAAGUGGAAUUCCUAGUGUAGCGGUGGAAUGCGUAGAUAUUAGGAGGAAUACCGGUGGCGAAGGCGACUUGCUGGACUUCAACUGACGCUGAGGAACGAAAGCGUGGGUAGCAAACAGG
rnacentral:rRNA from 1 species